UACGGAGGGGGCGAGCGUUAUUCGGAAUCAUUGGGCGUAAAGGGCGCGUAGGCGGCCCCGUAAGUCUUGGGUGAAAGCCCUCGGCUCAACCGAGGAAUUGCCUUGGAUACUGCGGGGCUCGAGGCUGGAAGAGGGCAGUGGAAUUCCCGGUGUAGCGGUGAAAUGCGUAGAUAUCGGGAGGAACAUCAGUGGCGAAGGCGGCUGCCUGGCCCAAUACUGACACUCAGGUGCGACAGCGUGGGGAGCAAACAGG
rnacentral:rRNA from 1 species